rfam:Sorghum bicolor cultivar BTx623 chromosome 1, whole genome shotgun sequence.
GUUGAGGGGAAUGUCGUCUGGCGCGAGACCGGCCGGACAGUCGGCCGGCGGCGUCCUCUGGAUCGGACGGUCUCGGACCAGGCUUCAUUCCCCUCAAC